AUUUGCCCUUAAGUGGGGGAUAACCCGGGGAAACCCGGAUUAAUACCGCAUGAUCUUUUCGAAGCAAAGCCGGGGACCGCAAGGCCUGGCGCUUUUGGAGAAGCCUACGUCGGAUUAGCUAGUUGGUGAGGUAAUGGCUCACCAAGGCUGCGAUCCGUAACUGGUCUGAGAGGAUGAUCAGUCACAUCGGAACUGAGACACGGUCCGAACUCCUACGGGAGGCAGCAGUGGGGAAUAUUGGACAAUGGGCGAAAGCCUGAUCCAGCAAUACCGCGUGUGUGAAGAAGGCCUUCGGGUUGUAAAGCACUUUAGGUCGGAAAGAAAAAACUUGAGUUAAUACCUUAAGUCUUGACGGUACCGACAGAAUAAGCACCGGCUAACUCUGUGCCAGCAGCCGCGGUAAUACAGAGGGUGCAAGCGUUAAUCGGAUUUACUGGGCGUAAAGCGUGCGUAGGUGGCUGUUUAAGUCGGAUGUGAAAGCCCUGGGCUUAACCUGGGAACUGCAUUCGAUACUGGAUAGCUAGAGAUCGGUAGAGGGCAGCGGAAUUCCGGGUGUAGCGGUGAAAUGCGUAGAUAUCCGGAGGAACACCGAUGGCGAAGGCAAC
rnacentral:rRNA from 1 species